UACGUAGGGACCGAGCGUUGUCCGGAAUCAUUGGGCGUAAAGAGCGUGUAGGCGGCCAUUUAAGUCCUGCGUGAAAUCUUGCGGCUCAACCGCAAGCGGUCGUGGGAAACUGGGUGGCUAGAGUGCGGGAGAGGAGAGUGGAAUUCCUGGUGUAGCGGUGGAAUGCGCAGAUAUCAGGAGGAACACCAAUAGCGAAGGCAGCUCGCUGGGACGUCACUGACGCUGAGGCGCGAAAGCGUGGGGAGCGAACAGG
rnacentral:rRNA from 1 species